CAGCCGCCACGGUAAUACCGGCGGCCCGAGUGGCGGUCACUAUUAUUGGGCUUAAAGCGUCCGUAGCCGGGUUGGGAAGUCCUCCGGGAAAUCUGGCCGCUUAACGGUCAGAAUGCCGGAGGAUACUCCCAGCCUAGGGAGCGGGAGAGGCCGAGGGUAUUCCCGGGGUAGGGGGGAAAUCCUAUAAUCCCGGGAGGACCACCUGUGGCGAAGGCGCUCGGCUGGAACGCGUCCGACGGUGAGGGACGAAGGCCAGGGGAGCAAACCGGAUUAGAUACCCGGGUAGUCCUGGCUGUAAACGAUGCGGACUUUGUGUCGGACAAGCUAUGAGCUUGUCCGGUGCCGGAGGGAAACCGUUAAGUCCGCCGCCUGGGGAGUACGGCCGCAAGGCUGAAACUUAAAGGAAUUGGCGGG
rnacentral:rRNA from 1 species